rnacentral:rRNA from 1 species
GACGAACGCUGGCGGCGUGGAUUAGGCAUGCAAGUCGCGCGACGGACCUUCGGGUUACGGAGCGGCGAACGGGUGAGUAACACGUGAACAAUCUGUCCCCCCAUUCCGGAUAAUUGGUCGAAAGACCUUGUAAUACGGGCGAGGAUUUCUUUAGGGCAUCUUAGAGAAAGGGAAGGUUCAGGGUAACUUGAGCCGUGUGGGGAGGAGUUCGCGGCCUAUCAGGUAGUUGGUGGGGUAAUGGCCUACCAAGCCUACGACGGGUAGCUGGUCUGAGAGGAUGGUCAGCCACAUUGGGACUGAGACACUGCCCAGACUCCUACGGGAGGCUGCAGUCGAGAAUCUUGGGCAAUGCACGAAAGUGUGACCCAGCGACGCCGCGUGAGGGAUGAAGGCCCUUGGGUCGUAAACUUCUUUUAGGGGGGAAGAAUCAAUGACGGUA